GAUUGGAUCACUCGGCUCAUGGGUCGAUGAAGAACGCAGCGAAAUGCGAUAAGUAAUGUGAAUUGCAGAAUUCAGUGAAUCAUCGAAUCUUUGAACGCACCUUGCACUCCUUGGUAUUCCGAGGAGCAUGCCUGUUUGAGCGUC
rnacentral:rRNA from 1 species